UGGGGAAUAUUGCACAAUGGGGGAAACCCUGAUGCAGCGACGCCGCGUGAGUGAAGAAGUAUUUCGGUAUGUAAAAGCUCUAUCAGCAGGGAAGAAAAAUGACGGUACCUGCACUAAGAAGCCCCGGCUAACUACGUGCCAGCAGCCGCGGUAAUACGUAGGGGGCAAGCGUUAUCCGGAUUUACUGGGUGUAAAAGGGAGCGUAGACGGCUGUGCAAGUCUGAUGUGAAAGGCAGGGGCUCAACUCCUGGACUGCAUUGGAAAACUGUGUAGCUUGAGUGCCGGAGAGGUAAGCGGAAUUCCUAGUGUAGCGGUGAAAAUGCGUAGAUAUUAGGAGGAACACCAGUGGCGAAGGCGGCUUACUGGACGGUAACUGACGUUGAGGCUCGAAAAGCGUGGGGAGCAAAACAGGAUUAGAUACC
rnacentral:rRNA from 1 species